rfam:Triticum urartu cultivar G1812 contig945750, whole genome shotgun sequence.
UUGGUACUCCCUCCGUCCGAAAAAGCUUGUCCCUCAAAUGGAUGUAUCUAGAUACAUCGAUUUGAGGGACAAGCUUUUUCGGACGGAGGGAGUACUUA